rnacentral:rRNA from 1 species
UACGUAGGGGGCAAGCGUUGUCCGGAUUUAUUGGGCGUAAAGAGCGUGUAGGCGGCUAGGUAGGUCCGUUGUGAAAACUCGAGGCUCAACCUCGAGACGUCGGUGGAAACCGUUUGGCUAGAGUCCGGAAGAGGAGAGUGGAAUUCCCGGUGUAGCGGUGAAAUGCGCAGAUAUCAGGAAGAACACCAAUGGCGAAGGCAGCUCUCUGGGACGGUACUGACGCUGAGACGCGAAAGCGUGGGGAGCGAACAGG